GACACAUAAAACCUCCCUUUCUCUCAAAUAUGCAUACAUAACAAAAGCCAAACACCCUCUCGUCUUCUACCAUCAGACAUAUUCAUCCCCUUCAAAUGAGAACCCUAAACAACAUCAGGAAACUCCACCUUCUUCAAAACCCCCACACACCCACAAUAAGAAUCAGAGCUCCUCCACUCAACUACCUCUCUCUCUAGCACAUCUGUUCCGGCGACCAAGAAGGGGAGCCGGCCCCUGAUUGAUCUUCUCCGACCCGCACCCCUCAUCCCCACCGCUCCACUCGACUGAACACUGGCAGCCAAGGAGGAGCCGGCUGCCGGUCAUUUGGUACUCCGACGAUUCAUCGCGUUGACAAGGCACACCCCCUUGCGUCGGAAAAAGGAACGGACCACCACCACGUCCGGUGGUGGUGAGCGAUGGCUGCAGACGAGAUCGGAAGAGAGAGACCAGAGAGAGAGAGUGACGACGGAGAGCCGCCGUGCGGCGGUGGAGCCGCGGCGGCAGCGUUGUGGCCGGAGCCACUCAACGAAGGCGGUAAUGCUUGGAUCGUUUUUCUUCAGGCGGGUUAUGUUCUGGUUCAAGUUUUGCAACACAGAUUCUGAUUCGAGUGUUCGGGUCAGUUUGGAGCCCAGUCAAAACAGGUCAAAGCUGGUCAAACACCAGUUUUGGGUUCGGGUACGAGUCAAAGUUGGUCAACCUAGUCAACCGAUUCAGUUAUGGUUCAACUCGUUCAUCGGUCAACGCAGUCGACUCGGUCAAACUCAGGUCAACAAUGAGUUGAGUCGGUCAACUCAGUCAAGCGGCUCGACAUUUUGACGGAAGACUUGGUAAAAAAAUUAACGAUGCGUUUAAUUCGUUAUAUUUGUAGAUUUAUUAAAUACGUGAGAAACGAGUUCGAACUGAUUGAUUAUAAUUUACGUUUCAAUAUAUUUGACAAAUUUCAUACAUUAUGAUUGAA